AUUGAACGCUGGCGGCAUGCCUUACACAUGCAAGUCGAACGAGCGAGAGAGAGCUUGCUUUCUCGAGCGAGUGGCGAACGGGUGAGUAACGCGUGAGGAACCUGCCUCAAAGAGGGGGACAACAGUUGGAAACGACUGCUAAUACCGCAUAAGCCCACGACCCGGCAUCGGGUUGAGGGAAAAGGAGCAAUCCGCUUUGAGAUGGCCUCGCGUCCGAUUAGCUAGUUGGUGAGGUAACGGCCCACCAAGGCAACGAUCGGUAGCCGGACUGAGAGGUUGAACGGCCACAUUGGGACUGAGACACGGCCCAG
rnacentral:rRNA from 1 species